rnacentral:snRNA from 1 species
GGAUGUGAGACAGAUCUGGCUGCAAUAUCUGUCACCUCAUUGAUCACCAGGAUUGAUUUGGCUGAUCUGGCUGGCUAGGCAGGUGGUCCCUUCCUCUCUCAUCGCUCCACGAGCGUCCCUCCCAAAGCUGCAUGCUCAGUCAAAAAGAAGGAAUAUACUGUACCCCAUAGAAGAGGACUGGUCAAGGGUAUAGAAGUAGCUGCGCGCUGUUGUUAACAAGCUCUCAAGGCCCUCCAAACAAGCUCUGGCCCGUUUU